ACUGAACGCUGGCGGCAGGCUUAACACAUGCAAGUCGAGCGGGGGAAGGUAGCUUGCUACCGGACCUAGCGGCGGACGGGUGAGUAAUGCUUAGGAAUCUGCCUAUUAGUGGGGGACAACAUCUCGAAAGGGAUGCUAAUACCGCAUACGUCCUACGGGAGAAAGCAGGGGAUUUUCGGACCUUGUGCUAAUAGAUGAGCCUAAGUCAGAUUAGCUAGUUGGUGGGGUAAAGGCCUACCAAGGCGACGAUCUGUAGCGGGUCUGAGAGGAUGAUCCGCCACACUGGGACUGAGACACGGCCCAGACUCCUACGGGAGGCAGCAGUGGGGAAUAUUGGACAAUGGGGGGAACCCUGAUCCAGCCAUGCCGCGUGUGUGAAGAAGGCCUUAUGGUUAUAAAGCACUUUAAGCGAGGAGGAGGCUACUUUAGUUAAUACCUGGAGAUAGUGGACGUUACUCGCAGAAUAAGCACCGGCUAACUCUGUGCCAGCCGCCGCGGUAA
rnacentral:rRNA from 1 species